rnacentral:rRNA from 1 species
GAAACGGGUGGUAAUGCCGGAUGUUCCACAUGAUCGCAUGUGAUUGUGGGAAAGAUUCUAUCGGCGUGGGAUGGGGUCGCGUCCUAUCAGCUUGUUGGUGAGGUAACGGCUCACCAAGGCUUCGACGGGUAGCCGGCCUGAGAGGGCGACCGGCCACAUUGGGACUGAGAUACGGCCCAGACUCCUACGGGAGGCAGCAGUGGGGAAUAUUGCACAAUGGGCGCAAGCCUGAUGCAGCGACGCCGCGUGAGGGAUGGAGGCCUUCGGGUUGUAAACCUCUUUUGUUUGGGAGCAAGCCUUCGGGUGAGUGUACCUUUCGAAUAAGCGCCGGCUAACUACGUGCCAGCAGCCGCGGUAAUACGUAGGGCGCAAGCGUUAUCCGGAUUUAUUGGGCGUAAAGGGCUCGUAGGCGGCUCGUCGCGUCCGGUGUGAAAGUCCAUCGCUUAACGGUGGAUCUGCGCCGGGUACGGGCGGGCUGGAGUGCGGUAGGGGAGACUGGAAUUCCCGGUGUAACGGUGGAAUGUGUAGAUAUCGGGA